rnacentral:rRNA from 1 species
UAGUGGCGAACGGGUGAGUAACACGUGGGCAAUCUGCCCUUCACUCUGGGACAAGCCCUGGAAACGGGGUCUAAUACCGGAUAACACUGCGGAUCGCAUGGUCUGCGGUUAAAAGCUCCGGCGGUGAAGGAUGAGCCCGCGGCCUAUCAGCUUGUUGGUGAGGUAGUGGCUCACCAAGGCGACGACGGGUAGCCGGCCUGAGAGGGCGACCGGCCACACUGGGACUGAGACACGGCCCAGACUCCUACGGGAGGCAGCAGUGGGGAAUAUUGCACAAUGGGCGAAAGCCUGAUGCAGCGACGCCGCGUGAGGGAUGACGGCCUUCGGGUUGUAAACCUCUUUCAGCAGGGAAGAAGCGAAAGUGACGGUACCUGCAGAAGAAGCGCCGGCUAACUACGUGCCAGCAGCCGCGGUAAUACGUAGGGCGCAAGCGUUGUCCGGAAUUAUUGGGCGUAAAGAGCUCGUAGGCGGCUUGUCACGUCGAUUGUGAAAGCCCGAGGCUUAACCUCGGGUCUGCAGUCGAUACGGGCUAGCUAGAGUGUGGUAGGGGAGAUCGGAAUUCCUGGUGU